UGACUUUUCCAAAUACCACAUGUUUUCCAUCCAACCAGGUGGGCUUGGUCAAGGUGAUGAAGAACUGAGAGCCGUUGGUGUCAGGCCCAGCGUUGGCCAUGCUGACCCACCCAAUGCCAUAGUGCUUCAGCUUGAAGUUCUCAUCUGGAAACGUCUCACCAUAGAUGCUCACGCCUGAGACAAAACAAGGAGGAGAGUCAACAGAUGUCUUUCGAUAGGAAGACGACAUCUUCAUAUUUGGCUUAAAAGAAAGAAUAUCCAGUUGAAAGGAAAUAAAACUGAGAGAUACCUCUCCUGUUGCUAGAGCAACAAAAUUUUCCACUGUCUUGGGCACAACUUUUCCAAAGAGGCCAAUCACAAUUCUGCCAACAUCUUUGUCUCCAAUCCUCACAUCAAAGAAGACCUGUGUGCAGUUGAAAG